rnacentral:rRNA from 1 species
GAGUUUGAUCCUGGAUCACGAUGAACGCUAGCGGCAGGCUUAACACAUGCAAGUCCAGGGGUAACAGGGAUUGCUUGCAAUCCGCUGACGACCGGCGCACGGGUGCGUAACGCGUAUGGAACCUACCUUUUACUGAGGGAUAGCCUUUAUAAAUGAACAUUAAUACCUCAUGGCAUCACUUAAUGGCAUCACUUAAUGAUUAAAGAUUUAUUGUUAAAAGAUGGUUAUGCGUCCUAUUAUUGAGAUGGAGAGGUAACGGCUCCCCAUGGCAUCGAUAGGUAGGGGCCCUGAGAGGGAGAUCCCCCACACUGGUACUGAGACACGGACCAGACUCCUACGGGAGGCAGCAGUGAGGAAUAUUGGACAAUGGGCGCAAGCCUGAUCCACCCAUGCCGCGUGCACGAAGACUGCCCUAUGGGUUGUAAACUGCUUUUAUACGGGAAGAAACACCCCUACCUGUAGGGGCUUGACCGUACCGUAAGAAUAAGCACCGGCUAACUCCGCGCCAGCAGCCGCGGUAAUACGGACGGUGCAAGCGUUAUCCGGAAUCAUUGGGUUUAAAGGGUCCGCAUGCGGUCAAUUAAGUCUCAUGUGACAUCCCUCAGCUUAACUGUGGAACUGCCUUUGAUACUGGUUGACUUGAGUUAUACUGAAGUACAUCGAAUAUGUAGUGUAGCGGUGAAAUGCAUAGAUAUUACAUAGAAUACCGAUUGCCAAACAGUCUACUACGUAUAUACUGACGCUCAUGGACGAAAGCGUGUGGAGCGAACAUGAUUAGAUACCCUGGUAGUCCACGCCGUAUACGAUGGACACUACUUGUUGGAAUUAUUCAGUGACUAAGCGAAAGUGAUAAGUGUCCCACCUGGGGAGAACCGUCGCAAGAUUCACACUCAUAUGAAUUGACCCGGGGCCCGCAUAUGCGCUGGAGCAUGCGGAUUAACUCUAUGAUACUCGAGGAUACCUUACGCAUGCUGUAAACUGUAGUAGUG